CUUGGUGUAUGCAGUACUGAAAAUGCAGGAGAGUGGAAAAUUUAUCCUUGGAUUCACAACAAUUGUAAUUCACUUUUAGAUAGCGAUCAACUUCGUCCUGUUUCAAUACCAGAUAUCCAUCCAGCUAGCUUGAUCCCUUCUUGCUUCCUAUUAUCCAAGGGAGCUUCCAGCACUUUAAAGCAGCAAUAGGGAAGGAUGUAAUUGAUGUCACUCUGAUUUCUAGGAGAUGCACGAGGAGAAAUGGUAUCUAAAUCUCACCUUAUCCGUCUAGUUUGUUUUUGUUCAACUGUCUGUAUUCUUCUUCUUCAAAUUAAAUAUAUUAGUACAGAAAUAUGAGCUAAUAAUUAAAUCACUGAACGACCACUAACAGUACAAAAAAAUUUCAACAUUUUUUAAAGGUUGAGGAACUUAAAAAAAUUGACCAUUGUUGAAGGAAAAAUCUUGUUCUUAA